rnacentral:tRNA from 1 species
UGGCUCAGCAGGUAAGAGCACUGACUGAUCUUCCAGAGGACCUGGGUUCGAUUCCCAG